rnacentral:rRNA from 1 species
UUAACUUACACCCACACCGCCAGGGGAUUACGAGCAAUGCUUAAAACCCAAAGGAUUUGACGGUGUCCCACCCUACUAGAGGAGCCUGUUCUAUAAUCGAUAAUCCCCGCUUCACCUAACCAUCCCUCGCCUCCAGUCUGUAUACCUCCGUCGAAAGCUUACCAUGUGAACGCCCGCAGUAGGCUUAAUGAUCCACCAUCAGUACGUCAGGUCAAGGUGCAGCUUAAGAGAUGGCAAGCAAUGGGCUACAAUUUCUAAUUUAGAACAAACGAAAGACUAUGUGAAACCCUAGUCAUGAAGGUGGAUUUAGUAGUAAAAAGAAAGCAGAGUGUUCUUUUUAACCCGGCUCUGGGACGCGUACACACCGCCCGUCACCCUCUUCAAUAGUACCUCAUCUGUUCAUAACCCAACACCACAUUUUAGAAGAGGCAAGUCGUAACAUGGUAAGUGUACUGGAAAGUGCCCUUGGUAUACUA